CCGCAUCCCUGAUGCGAGCACUUGCUAGGUUGUGUGUGUUUAAAAACCUCUAGUAUUCUAAUCCUCUGCGUUUGCAUAUAGUAGCGCAAAGGAACCUGCCCCUCUUCCCUCUCUCUUACGCCUGUGUUUUGUGCUACUAGCUAGCAGCUCAGCUCAUCGCGGGACAUGAAGAAGGAUGAAGAAGAUGCCAAUGCCACCAUCCCCUUCAAGUCCCCGCCGUCUCCUCUCCGCCAUGGCUGGCCUCUCCGCAUGCCGCGGACACCGCUCCGGUGACCUCUUCGUCUUCGUCUCCGUCGUCAUCUCGGUUCUUCCGCAGGGCAAAGGCAUGGAGGCAGCCGUGCAAGCUUAGCACAGAAAAAUGGUGGAGAGUUGUGUAUUGGCAUGCGGGAAAGCCAGGCAAUUUUUUUCCCUCCGUUCCGACUUGUUUCCGCUUUCCUCUCCUUGCUAAUUGCUGUCCUUGUUCUUGCUGCUCGCUCUAGGUCGCUUCGACCUUCAGACUAUUUGUAUCUCCUUUUGUUGCGAAUUUUAAGGCCAUUCCAUCCAUCGAUGUUACUAUAUAUCAUCGAGAACGAUAUGGCCAUUCAGAUUCUAUACAAUCAUGUGUAGUUAAGUUCAUCCUUGCAGCGUGCGUGGAGACAAAUCAGGUGUCCAGUGCUAGCAUGCAUGUUGCAGAUACCAUCCUUGCAUUUGCAUUUGCGAUUUAAUCUUGGUGGAUUAAAGACGAGCGAUACGCGAGAGGCGAGACAGUGAAUCAUGCCUCUCGAUCUUGCCUGUUAGUAUAUCUAUUCUAUAUUAUUUGGAGCAGAAUGCCAAUGCAGAUGCUAUUUCGUAUACUGUCGAUUGUACUGUACCUGUUUCUCCAUUUCAUUUCAUCUCGAUUAAUUGCGAGUAAUCAUACAGGAUCUGUAGAGCAGUGAUGAAUAGAUUUGCUUUACAGUGUAAACUGGAGAUGUUCGUCCUUGCAGGAAUCAUUGAGCAACCAUUAUGCACGUAGUAGCUUUUGUCUUUUAGGUGCCUUUUCUUUCUUUAGCGUGUAGGCUUGAGGCUCUUCACUGCUCAUCAGUGGACCAUCAGCCCCUGCAGCUAGCUGCGGUUGCGCUUUGUUCUCUGCUGCAUGCUGGCGACUCAAGUCACUGGACCUGUAUCUGUAUGAUUGAGCAGGAGGCACUAGUUGUUGAGGACUUGAGAAUAGUUUUCUCUUCAGUAGGAGCCAGCCACCCCAAGUAUCAUUCAUUUGUUGUAGCUGAGAUAAACUUGUUUUCGUUUUUGUCAUCUCUUCGAGUUUUUUAAUAUUAAAACUUUGUCUUUUGUCAUUUUCCAUUUAUGCUGUUUUCUGUAUCAGUAUGAAUGUAUGAUGGUGUUAUAAUGAAUGUAUGAUGGUGUUAUAN
rnacentral:lncRNA from 1 species